UACAGAGGGUGCGAGCGUUAAUCGGAAUUACUGGGCGUAAAGCGUGCGCAGGUGGUUUGCUAAGACAGGUGUGAAAUCCCCGAGCUUAACUUGGGAAUUGCGCUUGUAACUGGCAAGCUAGAGUGUGGCAGAGGGGGGUGGAAUUCCACGUGUAGCAGUGAAAUGCGUAGAUAUGUGGAGGAACACCGAUGGCGAAGGCAGCCCCCUGGGUUAACACUGACGCUCAUGCACGAAAGCGUGGGGAGCAUACAGG
rnacentral:rRNA from 1 species